rnacentral:rRNA from 1 species
AGAGUUUGAUUAUGGCUCAGAAUCAACGCUGGCGGCGUGCCUAACACAUGCAAGUCGAACGAGAAAGUGGAGCAAUCCAUGAGUAAAGUGGCGCACGGGUGAGUAACACGUGACUGACCUACCCUGAAGUGGGGAAUAACUAAGGGAAACCUUGGCUAAUACCGCAUAACACCUACGGGUCAAAGGAGCAAUUCGCUUCAGGAGGGGUCGCGGCCGAUUAGUUAGUUGGCGGGGUAAUGGCCCACCAAGACGAUGAUCGGUAUCCGGCCUGAGAGGGCGCACGGACACACUGGAACUGAAACACGGUCCAGACUCCUACGGGAGGCAGCAGUGGGGAAUUUUGCGCAAUGGGGGGAAAAACCCCUGACGCAGCAACGCCGCGUGGAGGAUGAAGUACUUCGGUACGUAAACUCCUUUCGAUCGGGACGAUUAUGACGGUACCGAGAGAAGAAGCCCCGGCUAACUUCGUGCCAGCAGCGGC